GACGAACGCUGGCGGCGUGCCUAAUACAUGCAAGUCGAACGCACAGUUUAUACCGUAGCUUGCUCCACCAUAGACUGUGAAUUGCGAACGGGUGAGUAACGCGUAGGUAACCUGCCUGGUAUCGUGGGAUAACUAUUGGAAACGAUAGCUAAUACCACAUAAUAUUGAUUAUUGCAUGAUAAGUGAUUGAAAGGUGCAAUUGCACCACUACCGAAUGGUCCUGCGAUGUAUUAGCUAGUAGGUGAGGUAACGGCGCACCUAGGCGAAGAUACAUAGCCGACCUGAGAGUGUGAUCGGCCACACUGGGACUGAGACACGGCCCAGACUCCUACGGGAGGCAGCAGUAGGGAAUCUUCGGAAAUGGACGAAAGUCUGACCGAGAAACGCCGCGGGAGGGAAGAAGGUUUUCGGAUCGUAAAGCUCUGUUGUAAGAGAAGAAAGGGUGUGAGAGUGGAAAGUUCACACUGUGACGGUAUCUUACCAGAAAGGGACGGCUAACUACGUG
rnacentral:rRNA from 1 species